rnacentral:rRNA from 1 species
AAUGAACGUUGGCGGCGUGGAUUAGGCAUGCAAGCUCGUGCGAGAUGAGUUCUUUUGCUUGCAUUAGAACUCGGAAAGCGGCGAAAGGGUGAGUAACGCGUAGUUACCUGCCCCAGGGACCGGGAUAGCUUCGGGAAACUGAAGGUAAUACCGGAUAAUAUCUGCGGAUCAAAUGGUGUGAUUCCGCCCUGGGAGGGGACUGCGUCCUACUAGCUUGUUGGUGGGGUAACGGCCUACCAAGGCAACGAUGGGUACCGGGCGUGAGAGCGUGACCCGGCACACUGGGACUGAGACACUGCCCCAGACACCUACGGGUGGCUGCAGUCGAGAAUCUUCGGCAAUGGGCGAAAGCCUGACCGAGCGACGCCGCGUGC